UCCCUGGUGGCUCAGAGGUUAAAGCAUCUGCUUGCAAUGCAGGAGACUUGGUUCGAUCCCUGGGUUGGGAA
rnacentral:tRNA from 1 species